UUUCCGUAGGUGAACCUGCGGAAGGAUCAUUAACGAGUUAGGGUCUUUUAGGCCCGACCUCCCAACCCUAUGUUUAUUGAACCUCUGUUGCUUCGGCGGACCCGCCUCACGGCCGCCGGAGGACCGCUGCGAGGCGUCCUCUGGCCAGCGUCCGCCGAUGGCCAACCCACUAAACUCUGAAUGAAUCGUGUCAUAUGUCUAAGUCUAUGAUUAAAUUAAAGCAAAACUUUCAACAACGGAUCUCUUGGUUCUG
rnacentral:misc_RNA from 1 species